GAUUAAAUUUGAUUUAUAGGAAUUUUGUUAUUAUCUUUUAUUCUAUGUUUUCUAAUGUGUUGAUUCUAGAAAUAUAUGCAUUGACAAGCAUAAGAUCUCAAAUCAGAACAUUUAAUGUUUGGCAACUGCCUAUUGAACCGCCAAGUACCCUUCCUAACCAAACUUCACUAACAGACCCUGCACGGCACUCCCACUUGGUACCAGUUUACACCACUUUGCGUGUUCGCAUUUAUUACCAAGAUAAUAAUUAAUUAAUUAAAUAAAUAAGAAUAAUAUCCUGCAUAAUCUCUUUAUUAUUUUAAAAACUCUUUUAUUUUUUUAUUAUUUUUUUUGCCAUAAAAAAAUACAGAUGUGUGUAAAGUAUACACUCAACCUCAUAAAAAUUAAAACCCACACUAAUAAUUAUGCCAAAAUAAAAGAUAUACAAGUUGAUUAUUCAGUUCAGUAUAAUUUUGUUUAUAUCUGGGGAUCAAGUAUAGAGAAAUAAUCUGCUAACAAAGAUAAAAGGAAUGAAAAGUACAACACAGUUUUUCACUCACACAAUAACAAAGAACACUCUCUUAAAAUUGUUGAUACUUACUUUCCUCAAUCGUCAUCAAAGAGUCUUUCACUCGUGACUCAUCUUAAAUCUUCAAGUAGGGUAUUUUAUAUAGACGCAUCAAUGUCUUAAUAGAUCUUCCUCUUUUAGACUUCUCCGGGAUUUCUAAAUUGAACACCCUCCAAAGUUAUAUGUUGUAACACCCAGUUGCAACACUGCCCACCUUGCUGAAUAUGACUGAGUUCUGUAAUGUUUGCCACCUUAGUCUUGUUGACCAAGUUGACCAGAGAUAUUUUGUUUCCCUUUGACUGUUUGACCGAAUUAUGGGAUUCCUGACAAGGUUUCUUCUCAGCUGACUUCUCACCUAUGAGCUUCGGUCUUGUCGUGGUUGGUGGGAGAGUUUUCUAGAGCAAAGGCAUCCUUCUUCUUCUCCUCCUCCUCCUUCUUCUUCUUCUUUUUCUUAAUAGCAACCUUCCCUUGGAGUUUUCGACCGAAGAGACCAGCCGUGAGGAGGAUCUCGGAGUCGCAACGCUUUGGGUUAUGUAGCGGCGAGGAGGUUGGAGCUUCAUCAAUUGUUUCUUUGUCAAGCUUCAGAUCUUGUAGCGAGCCCUAGUUCGCGGGACUUGGUGAACCAACUCUGUAGCUCGGAGUUAGGUUGACUCUGACUAGGUCAAAUCUGAGACCUUGCACCCAGUGGGGUCCAGUCCCACUGGAUGUGGUCAAUCUGUCAGCGGGCCAGGCUGUGGGGCUGGGGCAUGACAAGUUCAAUCCUAGUUGCAACCCAACUUACGACAUCUACAACCUCCCGGUUUCUUCAAUUCGUUUCGUAGCAGUUAACUCAUCUCGAGCUCCUCUUGCCUGCACCUGCUUCCUUCCUCGCGUCAUUUUAGCAAGUCCCCUCUCCCGAGGGUCGCACCCACCAAGGAGCGAACAACCAUCUCACUAAAGAUGGCUACAAAAGAUCUCCUGAUCUUCUUUCCAAACUUUGCCCAAGUUUCAUCUUCACAUAUGAUCAUCGUUUAAACCAUAAAUAUAUUGUUACUAAAUUUGAUCUCCUCUCAUCCAAGUUUAGCCUUCAAUAUCUUCCAAGGAUGAUCUCCA